UAGUAUUAAUUAAGCAAAGAGCCCUUAAGUUUAAAACCCCGAAACCAAGUGAGCUACUCCAAGACAGCCUAUAUAUAGGGCCAACCCGUAUCUGUGGCAAUAGAGUGGGAAGAGCUUCGAGUAGAAGUGACAGACCAACCGAACUUGGUUAUAGCUGGUUGUUAGAGAAAUGAAUAGGAGUUCAGCCUGACUUAAUACUCUUCACAAAUACUUAUGUGUGCAAAGAUAAGAAUAUAGAAGUCAGAGUUAGUCAAAAGAGGUACAGCUCUUUUGACCUAAGAAACAACUUUACAAGGAGGUUAAAAAUCAAUACAAAAGGUAUAAAACCUAGUGG
rnacentral:rRNA from 1 species